rnacentral:rRNA from 1 species
GAUGAACGCUGGCGGCGUGCCUAAUACAUGCAAGUCGAGCGAACAGACGAGGAGCUUUCUCCCUUGACGUUAGCGGCGGACGGGUGAGUAACACGUGGAUAACCUACCUCUAAGUCUGGGAUAAUUUCGGGAAACCGCUGCUAAUACCGGAUAAUAUAUUGAACCGCAUGGUUCAAUAGUGAAAGACAGUUUUGCUGUUACUUAUAGCUGGAUCCGGGUCGGAUUAGCUAGUUGGUAAGGUAACGGCUUACCAAGGCGACGAUGCGUAGCCGACCUGAGAGGUUGAUCGGCCACACUGGAACUGAGACACGGUCCAGACUCCUACGGGAGGCAGCAGUAGGGAAUCUUCGGCAAUGGGCGCAAGCCUGACGGAGCAACGCCGCGUGAGUGAUGAAGGUCUUCGGGUCGUAAAGCUCUGUUAUUGGGGAAGAACAAAUGUGUGAGUAACUAUGCACGUCUUGACGGUACCUAAUCAGAAAGCCACGGCUAACUACGUG